rnacentral:lncRNA from 1 species
GUUGGAUUAAGCAGGGUAUCGGAUACUCAGGUUUUUUCUGCAUGGUUAGGCAUAUUAAGAACCAGAAAAAUGUGUUGGUUAAAGUAGGAUGCUGGAAUACUCAGGUGUCGGAAUAGGUAGGUUACACUGUAUGUAUUAAAAUGCAUAAAAAGAGAUGUGGAAUAUAGGACUUUCUUGAAACUCACUUCUGAACCCAUGAUUCUAAUUUUACAGUUACAUUUGAGUACAAAUUAUUUCUGUUGUUGGGAAUUUACUGGUAUAAAUAUUGGUUAUCUGC